rnacentral:sRNA from 1 species
GUUAAGCUCUUCUGCUGCUGCUGCUGCUGCUGCUGCUGCUGCUGCUGCUGCUGCUGCUGCCAGUACUACUGCUCUGCUCCACAAAAAUUCAAUUGCUGAAAGAAGGAGAAGCGACAGUGGAUGUGGCAGAGCCCUGAAGCAGCAGCUGUCAAAGCUUUAAGCAGCAGAGGAAACCUUCGUUA